GCAGGCUUGAUACAGAUAAACUUUUGAAAACAUGACUUUAAAUAAAUUUUGCAUUAACUUAGCUGUGGUAAGAAAAGGAAGCAAUUUAUUUCAUUUACGUCAUCAAUCAUCCGCUUCUAUCAUUUAUUUUUUUUCUUUUGACACUUAGUGCAAAUAUUGUUAACUUUUAAUGAUGAACAUUCCAUACUUCCGACAUCAUUAUCAUUGAAUACUGUUAGUCAGGUUUACCCUUGAAAGAGGGUCUAAAUGGGGUUUACAGUUGUAUUUUUUUAUUUCUUACAAGCCAAUCCCCAUUAAACAUAUCAGAAAUCUUCAAUCUGAAUAAAAGAUUCAUGAGAAGAAUUGGCCUAUACAUCUUUUUAUCGAUUGAUAUACUGUUCCAUAGAUGAGAUCCAGUAUGUCUCCGAAAAAUUUGUGUUCGACUUAUGUACAUGUUACAGUUUCCCAUCACGUUAAUUAUAAUUCAAGACCAACAUGCGUGUCUGCAUGGCUGCAUCGACUGACUACCACUUUUAUUGGCCAAAAUACAUGGUGGUACAAGGUGAAGAGAACCACAAGGGUGAGUUAAUAUAAAUAAUACAUAGCUAAGAGGUUGAUAGAGCAGAUUGGUACCCGAGAAAACAUUGUCAACUGCGGCAAAGCCAAGGUUAACAAUGCUUUUUCGAGGGUAUACCAAUCUGAACGUUCUAUCAUUAUUGUUUUUCACUGUUUAAUUUUAGAUUUAAAGUAUUUUACUUUGACGUCACGUACAUAAAGUUAAAAAAUCG
rnacentral:lncRNA from 1 species